rnacentral:rRNA from 1 species
AAUGAACGCUGGCGGCAGGCCUAAAACAUGCAAGUCGAGCGCCCUAGCAAUAGGGAGCGGCGCACGGGUGAGUAACACGUGGGAAUAUGCCUUUUGGUACGGAACAACCUCGGGAAACUGAGGCUAAUACCGUAUGGUCCCUUCGGGGUAAAGAUUUAUCGCCAAAAGAGUAGCCCGCGUUGGAUUAGCUAGUUGGUAAGGUAACGGCUUACCAAGGCGACGAUCCAUAGCUGGUCUGAGAGGACGAUCAGCCACACUGGGACUGAGACACGGCCCAGACUCCUACGGGAGGCAGCAGUUAGGAAUAUUGGACAAUGGGCGCAAGCCUGAUCCAGCCAUGCCGCGUGAGUGAUGAAGGCCUUCGGUU